UCCAUUUUCUCCUUCUUGCUCUGCUUUCUCUCUACCCUUGCACUCAUUUGAACCGUUGAAAUUUCAAAUAGGUGGUGUUCUUUCGCUCACGGAGUUGAGAGCUUCCCUUCUAUCCGAUUAGAUUUCUAUUUGGACGGAUAAGUGGUUGUAGGGCACUGUUUGGGUUUUCUCUGUGAAGGUACGAUUAGUGCACUCUAGUUGACUAUACUGCUCAACUUCAAGAGAAAGAUGAGGUUUCUUUGGA
rnacentral:sRNA from 1 species